rnacentral:rRNA from 1 species
GGACGGAAUAAUUCCGCAAUGGGCGAAGACCUGACGGAGCGACGCCGCGUGCAGGAUGAAGCGGCUCUGCGUGUAGACUGCUGUCAGGGUGUAGUCACACCCAAAGGAAGGGCCUGCUAAUCUCGUGCCAGCAGCAGCGGUAAUACGAGAGGCCCGAGCGUUAAUCGGAAUCACUGGGCUUAAAGGGUGCGUAGGCGGGUCCGUAAGUGUCCUGUGAAAUCCCUCGUCUCAAGCGAGGAACUGCGGGGCAUACUGCGGGUCUUGAGGCUGGUAGGGGUCGUCGGAACGCUAGGUGGAGCGGUGAAAUGCGUAGAUAUCUAGCGGAACGCCAAUGGUGAAGACAGACGACUGGGCCAGACCUGACGCUGAGGCACGAAAGCGUGGGGAGCAAACAGGAUUAGAUACCCUAGUAGU